rnacentral:rRNA from 1 species
UUUCGCAAUGCCCGAAAGGGUGACGAAGCGACGCCGCGUGAGCGAAGAAGGCCUUAGGGUUGUAAAGCUCUGUCGAGGGUUAUGAAACGUAGAUGAGUUAAUACCUCAUUUAUUUGACAAAGGCCCCAAAGGAAGUCACGGCUAACUCUGUGCCAGCAGCCGCGGUAAUACAGAGGUGGCAAGCGUUGUUCGGUAUUAUUGGGCGUAAAGAGCACGUAGGUGGUUUUGUAAGUCAGGUAUGAAAGCCUUCUGUUCAAAGGAAGAACGGCAUCUGAAACUACAGAUCUUGAGUGUAGGAGGGGAGAGUGGAACUUCUGGUGGAGCGGUGAAAUGCGUAGAUAUCAGAAGGAACGUCGGCGGCGAAAGCGACUCUCUGGCCUAUUACUGACACUGAGGUGCGAAAGUUAGGGGAGCAAACGGGAUUAGAUACCCCGGUAGUCCUAACCGUAAACGAUGGGCACUAAGUAGAGGGGUUUUA